CUGCCCAUAGCUCAGCUGGAUAGAGCAUCGGCCUUCUAAGCCGACGGUCGGGGGUUCGAAUCCCUCUGGGCAGGCCA
rnacentral:tRNA from 1 species